UUUUUAGUGUAAGUAUAUCCCAUCCCAUAUUUGGAAUAUACUUAUACUAAAA
rnacentral:pre_miRNA from 1 species